rnacentral:tRNA from 1 species
AGCAGCGUAGCCCAGUGGGUAAGGAACUGGGUUUGUAACCGAAAGGUCAUAGGUUCAAUUCCCGAGUACUCUCAGUUG